UCCACUGAUAGUACUGUGGAAUAUUGGGUUGGACGGAUUUAAAGUAGAACGUGGGAGACCAGACAGAAGUGUACAGCAAAAGUCCAGGCAAAAACUUGACGAGAGCCUAGAACACAGAAGUGGCAAAAAAGAAAACUUCAAACGUCACAGUACAAAUCCUAUUGUUCACUAUCCUGGGUCCCAUCCCAAGCAACGUGCAUACUAUAUAUAUUCCCAGCUUCUGGACACAGAACACAGUGAUCCCUCAAUUAGUGGAUACUUGUGAUAUGAAAGAACUGAGGAUUUGGGAGGAGUGCAGAAGAGUAACAUUGGUCACUGGCAG
rnacentral:antisense_RNA from 1 species